rnacentral:rRNA from 1 species
ACGUAGGUGGCGAGCGUUGUCCGGAUUUACUGGGCGUAAAGGGCUUGUAGGCGGUCCGUUAAGUCCGAUGUGAAAUCUCCCGGCUCAACUGGGAGAGGUCAUUGGAUACUGGCGGACUAGAGGGGGGUAGAGGAAAGCAGAAUUCCUGGUGUAGCGGUGAAAUGCGUAGAUAUCAGGAGGAAUACCAGUGGCGAAGGCGGCUUUCUGGGCCUACCCUGACGCUGAGGAGCGAAAGCGUGGGGAGCAAACCGGA